rnacentral:tRNA from 1 species
GCGCCGUUGGUCUAUCGGUAAGAUUCGAGCUUCCCAAGCUCGCGUGGCGGGUUCGAUUCCCGCACGGCGCA